UACGGGGGGGGCAAGCGUUGUUCGGAAUUACUGGGCGUAAAGGGCGCGUAGGCGGUUCGAUAAGUCAGCUGUGAAAACCAUGGGCUUAACUCAUGGCCUGCAGUUGAGACUGUCGGGCUGGAGUGUGGGAGAGGUGAGUGGAACUGCGAGUGUAGAGGUGAAAUUCGUAGAUAUUCGCAAGAACACCAGUGGCGAAGGCGGCUCACUGGCCCGGUACUGACGCUGAGGUGCGAAAGCGUGGGGAGCAAACAGG
rnacentral:rRNA from 1 species